rnacentral:rRNA from 1 species
UACGUAGGGCGCGAGCGUUGUCCGGAAUUAUUGGGCGUAAAGAGCUCGUAGGCGGCUUGUUGCGUCUGCUGUGAAAUCCCGGGGCUUAACCCCGGGCGUGCAGUGGAUACGGGCAGGCUGGAGGCAGGCAGGGGAGAAUGGAAUUCCCGGUGUAGCGGUGAAAUGCGCAGAUAUCGGGAGGAACACCGGUGGCGAAGGCGGUUCUCUGGGCCUGUCCUGACGCUGAGGAGCGAAAGCGUGGGGAGCGAACAGG